rnacentral:rRNA from 1 species
UACGGAGGAUCCAAGCGUUAUCCGGAAUCAUUGGGUUUAAAGGGUCCGUAGGCGGUUUUGUAAGUCAGUGGUGAAAGCCCAUCGCUCAACGGUGGAACGGCCAUUGAUACUGCAAGACUUGAAUUAUUGGGAAGUAACUAGAAUAUGUAGUGUAGCGGUGAAAUGCUUAGGGAUUACAUGGAAUACCAAUUGCGAAGGCAGGUUACUACCAAUAUAUUGACGCUGAUGGACGAAAGCGUGGGGAGCGAACAGG